rnacentral:lncRNA from 1 species
UGUAAGCAGCAUCAGAUUUGUAGCAAACAUAUAGGUGAAUAUGGGAACAACAAUCUAUAUCAACAGUUCAUGCAGUGUGAGCUUUGUGGCAUUUCUCCACUACUCCUUAUUUUGCCGCCUUAUCUUGAGAAUGUAUGGCACGGUCACUAUGAAAAGAGCUUUGUGUUUGAAUUCCUGGUCUUCAGGGAUUUUACAUUCUGUAGCUGGCAAAACAAGUCCCCAUUUAAAUAUUAAGCUUACUACAUUAAUGAUCUCCAAUGUCCCCCUACAGUCUGCAGUCGCACGGCUGGUGGUGUGGCACAGACAGAGCAAGGGUUACAUCAAGGCUGUUCUCUGGACCGUGCAAACAGUCUAGACCAAUGACCUGCAGCAUCAUGCCCUUUGAAGAAGAGGCAAGUUCGGUCACGAUGAAGAAAAAUCAAGGCGUACCCCUUUUAACAAUAGGGAGCAGCUCGUGGCUGCAAAGAGGUAAGCAGGGGUAAGCGAAAAAGGCAUCUGCUUCCAUGGUUACAGGCCAACUAUGAGAACCUUGCUUUUCAAGAGAGACUGUUCUCAUGCUCCCUCACAGGCUAUGUCAUGCAUUAUAAGUAAAGGAGGGUUGAGCUGAAAUCCACAUAGUUAUUUCAGAGUAAAAUGAUACGCGAGCACAUGGCUGUUA